CAGCCGCCGCGGUAACACGUAGGGUGCAAGCGUUAAUCGGAAUUACUGGGCGUAAAGCGUGCGCAGGCGGUUUGUUAAGACAGAUGUGAAAUCCCCGGGCUCAACCUGGGAACUGCAUUUGUGACUGGCAAGCUAGAGUGUGGCAGAGGGGGGUGGAAUUCCGCGUGUAGCAGUGAAAUGCGUAGAUAUGCGGAGGAACACCGAUGGCGAAGGCAGCCCCCUGGGCCAACACUGACGCUCAUGCACGAAAGCGUGGGGAGCAAACAGGAUUAGAUACCCCUGUAGUCCCUGUCUCUUAUAC
rnacentral:rRNA from 1 species